GCCGCAGUAAUAUGUGCAAAGGUAGCAAAAUCAUUUGCCCCCUAAUUAGGGGCCGGUAUGAACGGAUUUUCGAUGAACACCUGUCUCUUUUAAUCUACUAAAAACUAUCCUUCAAGUGAAAAGCCUUGAAUUCUAAUAGAAGACAAGAAGACCCUGUCGUACUUAAUUCCCACAAACAGCCAAAAAAGCUUACAAGAAUUUAGUUGGGGCGACUGUAGUACUAAACACCUAUAAUAAUAGCUCGAGCGACAACUCCUGAAAAUGACCCUAAUAAGAUCAUAGAAACAAGUAACCGCAGGGAUAACAGUCUAAUCCCCUUCCAGAGUCCGUAUCGACAAGGGGGCUUGGCACCUCGAUGUUGGCUUAGGGACUCUAAUACGUGCAGCAGCCUAUUAUAGAAGGUUUGUUCAACCUUUAAACCCCUACGUGAUC
rnacentral:rRNA from 1 species